UAAAAAUCAUGUAUCUGUAAUAUUGCACCACAUUUCACAAAUAAUAACACAGUUUUGACUUGUAUCUAAACUAGAAGUGCAGAGCUCUGAUCUUUUGAACACUUAAGAGUUUCAAUGCGAGUUGUUUUAAAUGCUGAUGUGUCCGAGUCCGACCUGAGCCCGUUGGACUUCGGUUGGGUUUCCAUGCUCUAGGUCCAACUUUAUUCCUCACUGGCCUAAAGCAUUCCGGGCAUCCUAAUUAUUUACUGUGAUGAGUUUAUAAUCUCUCUAUACAACUGUCAGGGAACAAAGCAGAGUUUUGCUUUCACGAUAAUGCAAGACUAAUGUCAACUAGCAUUCUAAUAGUGCACUUCCUGGUUCACAGAUGAUGAGAAUGCCGUAUAAAUAGAUAUAGACAGUGCAAAAUUCCAAUGUGUCUGUACUGGAGCAAAACUAAUAUUGCUUUAUUGCAUGAAAAACUGUACAGUCCCUUUAAGACAAACAUAAACAAUAGAUUUGACACAUUUGUUUCUGUUUUGUAGAUAAAAGAACAGGAAAACAAGACUCACUCAAACUGGAUAACUGCAAGAAAUGCUGAACGGGCUCUCAACCAGGAGAAGGUGGAAGCAUCAAAACUACGAGAAAAAUUGACACUACUCACAACACAGCUGAACGAAAAGCGCGCCCCUCUCUUCAGACCAAACUCGGGGCAGUUCGCUGGACCUCGUCAGGGUGAUUCCUACGGACCGUCUCCUGUGAGUGGGGGAGCACCGUCUCCUCCGAUCAUGAUCGAGGGACCCAGGCGCCCUCCCUCCGCCCCGGUGGGUCGCAAAAUAGACCAGUAUGGCCCCAGACCUCCGUCAGAUCCACACGGACGUUACGCUGACAACAAGCACAUGUCUGGAAUGGGUAUGUCACUUCAUAUUUUUUGUUUUGAGUUUAAAGGGGGGUAUUAUGCUAAAUUGACUUUUUGGAGCUUUUUACUGUGUUAUAAUGUUCUCUCAUCAAAAACAAGCCUUAAGAGUUUUUAUGUAGCUUAUGUCACUUCAGAAACCUGAUGUGAUGUGCAGUGGUGUAGUCGGGAUUUUUAAAAAUGUUUUAAACAAGGACUGAACCAGGUCUAAAUCAGGACUAAACCAGGUCUAAAUUAGGGCUGAACCAGGACUGAACCAGGACUGAACCAGGACUGAACCAGGUCUAAACCAGGACUAAACCAGGACUAAACCGGGUCUAAAUUAGGACUAAACUAGGUCUAAAUCAGGACUAAAUCAGGAGUAAACUAGGACUAAUCUUGGACUUGAGAGAGGGAGAACCCUGAGACCGUGGUGCAGAGUAUCCGCAAAGCCGCGACUGGGCAAUGGCUGCAGAGCUCUGCACCGGUCCUUUCGCCUGCAGUCACCCGACGGUCUAUGCGGGUGCACCUCAGGGCCUCUCCCGACACUCAGU